GCUGUUAUGGCUCAGGUGGUAGAGCACAUCCUUGGUAAGGAUGAGGUCCCCGGUUCGAGUCCGGGUAACAGCUCCA
rnacentral:tRNA from 1 species